ensembl:misc_RNA 7SK 7SK RNA
AGAUGUGAGGGUGAUCUGGCUGUGACAUCUGUCACCUCAUUGAUGGCCAGGGUUGAUUCUGCUGAUCUGGCUGGCUAGGCGGGUGUCCUUCCUCCCUCACUGCUCCACGUGCAUCCCUCCCUAACCUGCCAGCUUGGUCAAAGAGAAUGGCCUUCCCCAAAUAGAGACUGACCACUCUUCAGUCGAGGAUAUUCAAGUAGUCUGCGCUCCCCUGCUAGAACCUCCAAACAAGCUCUCAAAUCACACUGUAGUACAAAUUUUAAUGUGCCUCAUAAUGAACAUUUAUAAAAGUGACUAU